AAUUAAAAUAAUACUGUUUGUAUGUACUUUAUAACUGCCUUUAUAACUAUAAUUUCAUGUUGUUUUAACGGACUGAAAUUGAUGGAGAUAUUUUAAUGAACCUAACUGAGACUACGAAAGCUUAAAUAUUACCAAAAAUGAAGGAUAAAGUUAAAUUCAUAAGAUUACAAGAAAACCUAAAGACUGAGAUGCCAGCAAGACCACAGACACCAUGAAUGGAUGAUCUAUCUGGCCAAGAUUUGUAUCAAAAGAGGCCAAGACCAGUAGGGGUAAGUGUCACAGACAGAGUCUGGUGGCACAGACAGUGAUCAACGAGUGCCAAAGAAGAGCAGUUGGGGUAGAUAUUGUUACUGAGUUGAAUGAAGAAAAACAAAUCUGCGUUGGUUUGGCACACAAAGGUCUGAAUGGUUGCUGCUGUCCUGCUGUUUCCACUUCUAUUAAAGGAGAGUCAGAGAUCUUUUCAUGUCAUCAGUGAGGAACCACAUACACCCAACCCAUGCUGUUUAUAAAGGGACGUGCCUUGGAUGCAGAGUCUAUUUCAGAAAUAAUGAUGGAAGGGGAGGAGGAGGUCUGAGAAGUAGACAAUGUGAACACGGCUCUACACUUCAUCUUCAACAAUGAAUAUGCUUCAAAGUUGAGAGACACCCUGACAUUCAUUGAAAACUGUUUAAUGUAUUGUGACGCGUGUCCCGAGACCUCAUCAGCGUCGCCCUGGAAACGGAGGAGGAUCACCUGCACGCCAUCAACGCAGGCUGGCCGGCCACACCUGAGCCCAAUUACGGGACGCAUAUAUAAGCCGCCAGAAGGCUCAGACGGGCGAGACAUGACUCCAGUUGUUGCAUCGCUAACUUUCCUCUCUUCUGUGAACAGAGAGCAGCGUCUGACCGGCCAGCCCCGAGGCACACUCACUGCACGGACACCAGACCCUCACCCACGUGGAGCACGGAAAGAAGCAGAUCCUGGAGCAUGAAGACUCCUCACACGAGCACUACGGCACGACCACAAUACACAAUAAACGCACCCUUCGGGGCCUUUAUUGAUCUCACCUUGUCGUGUGAUUCUUCCUCCCGUUACAGUAUCAUAAUGCCAAAACCAAUAUGCCAGCCACAAU